GGCAUUGGGCACUGUCGGGAGACAGGAUACUGGGCUAGAUGGACUGUGCCCUCUUAUGUUCUCUUGUAAGGGCUGGAGGUUUCAAAGUAGUAUAAGGGCAUUUUAGAUACCCAGCUGUGAUUGAAUUUUAAUGUAGUUUGGGCAUCUGUCCAUUAGGCACUUUUAAAAGUUCCUGUGUCAAGUCAAGUCUCCAAAGGCCAUGCCUUGUGCUUUAACCACAAGCAACAGGGUGGGGAGAGAAAGAGGUGCGGAAAGACACAUGGGAGAAGGGAAAUUUCUGAAAUGCAAAAUUAUUUGCCUGCCUCGUGGGAUAUAAGAACAUGGGGUGAUACCUGCCUUGUUAGUCAGGGGGACUCUUUGACACCAACCCCUUGUGCUAAAGCAAAGGUCAGCAGCGGUCAUGCUGUGGCUACGUUGUCUUUGCGUUAUGGCCUGGUGCAUCUUGUCAGGCUCCGUGGCAGCUGUCACUUUAACUCAGCCAGGUUCUGCCCGUGCAGAGCCAGGGAGUUCCAUUACCCUGGAUUGUGUCGUCUCUGGGUAUAACAUCGAUGACCAUCAUCUCCACUGGGUCCGUCAGGCCCCUGGGAAAGGUCUGGUCUGGGUCACAGCCUUCAGAACAGGUUUCACCACCAUCACCGCUAACGAAUUCAAAGGCCGGGUCACCCCCUCCACCAGCGGCUCCACUGCCAGGCUAAAGAUAGACGGACUGACAGCUGCAGACACGGCUACCUACUACUGUGCACGAGAAACACAGUGCUCGCUUCCCAGCUUCCUCUCCUACAGUAACCUCUGGGGCAAGGGGUUCGUCUCAUUGAGCACAUCUCUCUGCAUGAAAUUCAGCCCUCUGCCACUGCCUGCACAUUGCAAGAGUCCCAAGGCAGCCCUCAAAAUGAGACCCUGGGGUUAAACAGGCCAUGCACAGGGUCAACUUCACCCUCAACAAUUAAUCUUGUGGCCUUACCAUAACAGACUGCCCGAGGCGGCACCGUGAUCUAUUGGCUAGCGCCCUGUGCUAGGAGUCCGGCUCGCUGAGUUCUGACCCAUUGCUCUGGGGUGUGGCCUGAGGUAAUUCACGACUACCUACCUGCCCCUUUCCUUUCCCACCCUCGGGGUCUCUUGUCGGUUUUAUAUGAUAAGCUCUUCAGAGCCAGGCCUGUUGCUUGCUGCGCUUAUGGGCCAUGCCAGUUUUGCCACAAGGAACAAUAGUAAUUAGUAGAUUCGUGUAUUUUAAGGCCAGAGAGGACCAUUAGAAUCAUCUACUCUAAUCGCCUGCGUAACACAGGCCAGAGAACGCAGCACAGCUAUUCCUGCACCAGCACCAGAGCUUGCGGCUGAGCGACUGCGCCGAUGUUAGAGAGCGUGGAAGAGGGAUUAAUGGAUUUUAAGGCCAGCAGGGACCAUGUAGUCUGACCUUCCAUAGAGCACAGGCCAAAGAACUUCACCCGUCUGGCUGUCCUGUUGAAUUAUUUGUUGGCACAGAUAGCUAUUUCUACAUCAUUCCUCUAUCGUUAUUAAUGUGCACGCGGUGGCAGAGAAGUUCUCCAGGAUGGAUCUCUGGGAUUUCAGGGGCUGUCAUCGCUGCAAGCCACAUGGCCUUUCCAUUUCAUUCCACGUCACAGCUGAAAUUCUGAACUUCCCCCAUUGACUGCCAUCUUCGUAACCAGCACUGUCCAGAGGAGAAAAGAUAUUCACAAAUAUUAUUCUGUUUUUGUACUGUAACAUUUUGGAAGGAUGAAUA